GGAGAGGAUCGGACGGCCGCCGGCCGGGGGCGAGGGGGUCGACACACCGGCCCUUGCCGCACCCGGCGGGAGGAAAGUCCGGGCUCCGAAGGACACGGUGAUGGGUAACACCCACCGGCCGCGAGGCCAGGGAAAGUGCAACAGAAAGCAAACCGCCGCGAGGUUCCGCCGCGCGGUAAGGGUGAAACGGUGAGGUAAGAGCUCACCAGCAGGCCGGGUGACCGGCUUGGCUAGGCAAACCCCACCGGGAGCAAGAUCAAACAGGGAGUCGUGGUGCGCCAUCGCGGCGUUUCGAUGCCGCGAGCCACCCGCGGGCUGGUCCGGUCCGCCAUGGACUUCCGGGUAGAUCGCUGGAGAAACCGAGCAAUCGGUUUCCUAGAGAAAUGGUCGUCGCUUGCUUCGGCAGGAACAGAACCCGGCUUACAGAUCCUCUCCAACC
rnacentral:RNase_P_RNA from 1 species